rnacentral:lncRNA from 1 species
GAGACAAUUAAGUACUUUAGAGUGCAUUAGCUCUGCCAGACUAAUAGAGUGAUUUUGAAGCUUGGCUAGUAGCUUGUAGCUCAGCUUAGCAGGCUGAGGGGUCUGGAGACUGAAGGGACUAAGAAAGCAGUUUAGAAGUCUACAGCAGACCUGAGAGUUGCAGACCAUAACCUGGCAGGUUCUGCUAAAUCUGGCAGGUGUGUUCUCAGGUGGACCAGGGAAGUUUGUUCAGUUGCUCUGAAAUUGAAAACGCAGGUUGUGUAAUAUUUCCAAAACCCCAGUAAGAGGAUGUCAGAGGGAGGACCACGAGCUGCGGAUUGUCUGUGCCUGACCUAGGAGCCCCGGCCCGCACAGGUAAGGAGAGUAAGCUUUCAUUGGAUCCCAAGUAGUCUUCCUUGGGUGAUAACUUUGUCUUUCUAUCAUGUAACCAGUAGCUGCCAAAUUGUGUGUGUGCGUGUUUAGGGAGAAGAACCAAGGCAUGUCUCUGAUGUUGUCACAGCCCAGUGUCACCCAAAAGUCACUGUGCUCCCAUCAUCCCCAGUUCCCAGUUGAGUGGGUCCCAGCUACAUUUCCCAUGGACAUCCGUCGGGCCCAUGUGAAGAGCUAUUUCAGAGACAGAGUGUUCUAAAUCAGGUUUGUGUUUUGG